rnacentral:tRNA from 1 species
AGCGGGGUAGGGCAGCCAGGAACAGUUUGGUUUUUAAAGCCAAGUUGCUGCAUGUGCCCGUCGGGCUCAUAACCCGGAGGUCGGUGGUUCAAAUCCACCCCCCGCUA